UGACGCGAUUUAUGACAAUGACUAAGUAAUUACUAAUUAACAAUUAAAUCAAGGAACUUCAACUUGGCAGCGAACACAAGUGGGUGGACAAAGCAUUACCUAAGGCGGGUGUAACGUAAGCUUACUUUACAGCGUCUUAUUAUAACUACUAACUCGUAGUUCAAGGGGGUAAUAGUCGGUCUAACAAAUAAAAUGAUGGAAGUGACCGGUAACUUGUUGACGCUUUUACAGUGAUGGAUAGUGAUGUGCAAUGCCUCUCUUACUCUUACCCCUGCUCAGAGACUCUAUUUACACGUAUUCCGAGCUGGAACCAGCGAUGGUAUCGAUGAAUACGGAGUAGAUAAAUGUUGACAGGGAAGAUGUUCGGGUCUUAACGAUAAACAAAACGGGUAUGCGAAUCUGGUUACUAAAUUUGUCUUAAAACUGGUAGCAUAAAACUUGGAUCAAAAGCUAAAAUAGAAUCUGUAAGAUUACUGUGAUUAUGAGAUUAAUACUAACCCAGAAGGAUCUGGCUUUUGCUCUUAAGUAAACUAAAUAAUUGUACUAAUAUUAUGAUGUAUAGUUACAACGGCUGUAUCAUCCAAAGCUACCUAAAAUUAUUAACGAUUAAGUAAUUUUUAGCGUGGCGACCACACCCUUACCAGCUGAAUCUUCUAAAUCCCAAAAUAAUGAGAAUUUUCAAGGGCUAUGGUAACAACACUACUAAAGAGCCUCUUGAAAUAACCAACUACCACGAUGAAGAUUAGCUUCAAAAGUGUCCAAAAAUUGGUCAAGGUAAAGUAUACCACAAUCAGAAGAAUGUGACCUGAUAACCCCCACAAGAUAGAUGUUUAAAUUUUGAAUUUCGCGGAAAUAUAUGCAACCCAAAUUACAUGCUGUUAAUGAAAUUGAAUGUUACAAUCCCUUCAUCAAUAAUUAUUUGUGAACUUGGAUCUUUAUUUAAAAAAAAACAAGAUGAUUGCUCGCAAUAGCAUUUUAUGCCAAUAUAACAUCAAAACCGCCAAACUAUUUAUUGAUUAAAUAUCAUACCUCAAAGUCAUAACACAAUUUGAUUAAUUUUUAAAUGGUGCUUAAACGCCAACACGCCUAUA